CUGAGCUUGCAGCAACCAAAAGGCGCCACACACGUGUGCGAGGAACCCGCGGCGCUCGGUGUGGGCUGACAGGAAGCACCGCCCCACUAGGACACAUCAAGUUUUCUCUUAAGCAGUUUCAAACCCAGCGCGCUUUCCACGUAGCAUCCAGCCGUGAACUUUCAAGCAGAUGCAGCCCCAGGAUGACUCAAAAGUAGGGCAUCCUUGGCCCUCCUGAAGAGAUGAAAUUAGUGGCAAGUGGACCAUCUAUCUGUAUGGCGUUAUCAGAUGCCUUUGCCUGAGUGAGAAACCUUCCUCCAUUGGGACCCCAGAGGUCUGAUGGCCCUUUGUGACAUCCAAAUAAGUAAUGUAUGUAGUCCUUUUGUCCUGAAGGUCCAGGAACAUCUUUUGUUCUAAUACUUGGUCUUUGAAUCUGGUUCCUGACAGUGAGCUCCUAAAUCCCCUAGAACUUCCUGGGUGAUAGUAAAGUCUUUGUUCUAAUGGGACUGGAAUUUUUACACACACUCAUAUGAUACACAUUCAUUCUCCAGAGAGGGGAGAGGGGUUGGAAAUGAUCAUGAUGAAGCCUCCAUAAAAAUUCCAUUAGUAUAGGGUUCAGAGAACUUUCAGGUUAGCUAACAACACAUUGAAGUGCUGGGAGAGUGAUGCCCCUUCCUACAUACCUUCUCUUAUGCAUCUCUUCUAUCCGGAUGUUCAUUUGUACCCUUUAUCAUAUCCUUUUGCAGUAAACCAGUAAACAGUAAACUGUUUUCCUGAGCUCUUUUGAGCCCAUCUAGCAAAAAUGAGUCAAACCCAAGGAGAAGGUUGUGGCAAUCUCUGACUUACAGCCUUUCUGUCAGAAGCACAGGUUAACAACCUGGACUUGGGUUUGGCAUCUGAAGUGGAGGAGGGGCAGUCUUGUGGGACUGUGCCCUUAGCCUCUGAGAUCUGAAGUUAUUUCUAGGUGUAGAUGGUGUCUUAAUUGAGUUACAUUGCAGGACACCCAACUGCUGACAAGACCCACACAUCUGGUGUCAAAAAUACUGAGAGUAUGGCCAGAGUUUGAGACUGAAGGAAAAACAGGAUGAAGCACGAGGUUUUCUUAAAAGGUAGAAAUACUUAACAUUCAAAAAAACUGUGGUGAGAACUAGAAUUUUAGAGGAGAAUGCUUAACGUCUAAGACUUGAGAAUUCCCUGGCAGUCCAGUGGUUAGGACUCUGUGCUUCUACUGCUGGGGGCUUGGCUUUGAUCCCUGCUCAGGGAAUUAAGGUGCAGAACAGCUAAAAACAAGUAAACCCAAGACUUAAACUAAGUCUUCAUAUUCUAGAGCUCUGCUGCAUAGUACAUGUGGAUUUAAAAUUGACAAAAUCCAUUUCUGCAUCUCAGUACUUAGUGACUGCCUAUUGGAGAGCUCAGAAGACAUUUCCACCAAUACAGAAAGUUAUAUUAUAUGCUGCUGUUCUAGAGCAGGGGCUGGCAAACUUCAUGUAAAGAGGCUGAUAAUAUUUUAGGUUUGUGUACCAUAUAAACUUUUUAUCUGUUGCAGCUACUCAACUCUGCAGUUGCAGUAUACAAGCAGCCAUAGAUAAUAUGUCAACAAAUGAGCACUACUGUGCUCCAAUACAACUUAAUUUAGGAACACUGAAAUAAAAAUUUCAUAAACUUUUCAGUGAAGGAAAAUAAUUUCCUUCAACCCUUCUAAGCUUGAGGGCCUUUCAAAAACAGAUGGCAGGCCAGAAUUACCAACCCCUGUCUUGGGGAAUGAAAUUCAGGCCUUGGGAGUUUACAGCUCAUUAGCAACAGAUUUAGGGCCAGUACCAACAUGUGUCAGUGAAAAAUUAGAUGUUAUCAAUACCUUUGCCUUAAACAAGCUUUUACCAUAUAGUAUUAAACUCUUCAGCUUUUAGAGUACUGGGGUGACUUUAGUAAAUUAUCCAGUAAUAGGGUAGUCCUUAUUUCUUAUGUUUGGGGUUUGUUGUAUGUGCUUUUUUGAAUGAGUUACUUAUAAAUGGUUCUUUUUUUUAAAUGUACACCUAAGGAAGAGUUCCUAAGAAAGAACAGCAGUGUUUGGUUUCCAGCAGAACCUGAUCACAAACCCAUCCUAGUAGUGAAGUAGAAAUGGUCCCUAAGGAAAGAGGAAAUUUUUAUAUGUCAACAGUAGCCAGAAGAAAGAUAAAUAUCAUAUUCUAAUGCAUAUAUAUGGAAUCUAGAAAAAUGGUACUGAAGAACUUAUUUACAGGGCAGCAGUGGAGAAACAGACAUAGAGAACAGACUUAUGGACACAGGGAGAGGGGAGGAGAGGGUGAGAAGUAUGGAAAGAGUAACAGGGAAACUUACAUUACCAUAUUUAAGAUAGCCAAUGGGAAUUUGCUGUAUGGCUCAGGAAACUCAAACUGGGUUCUGUAUCAACCUAGAGGAGUGGGAUGGGGAGGGAGAUGGGAGGGAGGCUCAAGAGGGAGGAGAUAUAUGUAUACCUAUGACUGAUUCAUGUUGAAGUUUGAAAGAAAACAUUCUUUCAAAACAAAGUUCUGUAAAGCAAUUAUCCUUCAGUUAAAACCUAGCUUUGAAUUAAAAAAAUAAUAUCAUAAAAACAAACCAAAAAAGAAUAGCCAGGAAAAAAAAAUCCAGGUUUUAAAAUCUGGAAUCUCAAGUUAUUAGAAUAUAGAUGGCUUUCCUGGGCAUGGUAAAGCUACCCAGGUGCAGGGAGAGGCCCCUGUGUUGCUACUUGAAAAAGGAAAAUUCAUUUGGUGUUUAUGCCUGUAUUCAGUACCCCCAGAGGUUUCAGUGGCUUAAUCAUGCACAUUAAAAUAAUUUAAUGGGAUUUCCUACUUGAUAAGUGAAGUUAAUUAGUCACCUACUACUCCCUGUUGGCUUGAGUUUUUUUUUUUUCCUGGUAAGUCUAAGAUGAAGUAACACAUUUCAGCUUUAAAUCCAUGCCUUCUCUUUCUCCAUCACCCUUUUCCCAUGCUGCAAUGAAAACUGAAAUUGAACUGGCACAUAUUGGCCUGUAAAUAUCCAAGCUGCCACCUCCUGCCAUAGCUAGCAAUUAGUAAACACAAGUGCCCCUUGAGCUGCUCAAGUUCAGGACCUAUACCAUAUUAAGAAAGGAAAAUUAAAGCAGUAUGAGUAGAGGGCCCCAAAUAUUGAGUCUGUCACCUGUCAAUGAUUUAUUUCCUUUCAUUCAAGGUUGGAAAAAACUAUCAGUGAGCUUUUGCAAUGAAAGUUUGAAUUACAUUUCAAAUUUUAAUCAGGAAAACAAAACCCCAGAGAAAUAAAUUCUGCAGGCCCCAAAGAGACACAAAAAGGUGGCAUAGGGCCUAGGAAUUCACACUAAGGAAGACAACCUGGUUAGAGCAACUAAUUAAGAACCUAAAAGAGUGACAAUGGCUCCUCUGAAUCUUUUUGCUUAAUUAGGGCUUUAUGAACAGCUCCAGUUAAUAGACCUGUCAAUAUUCUCUUGGAAAACAAUUUCACUGAAUUAACAAUUCAACUCUAAUAUUUACAAUGUCUGUUUAGCAACACCUUGCUCUUUACAGUUAUUUAGGAACACUUAAUGAGCCCACUUGCUAGGUCAUAGAUUUGUCAAUUUAGGAUCCUAAGGCCUGGUUCAAAGGAGCCCCUGUUACUUUGGCUCUCCCUAUUCUCCAUUACAAGCCCUUUUGGGUGUAAGAACAUUUUAUACUGCUUUUUAAGGGUAACUUGACUACCUGGGAAGAGGUGAUAAAAUGGACCUUGAAAUUUAUUUCAUUUUAGAAUAGUUGUAGAUUUACAGAAAAGCUAUAAAGAUAGUACAAAGAAAUCCCAUGUACCCUGCACCUAGUUUCUCCUGUUAGUAACAUAUUAGUAUAGUACAUUUGUUAUUAAUUGACUAAAGUUCAUGCUUUAUUCAUAUUUCCUUAUUUUUCACCUAAUGUCCUUUAUCUGUUCCAGCAUCCCAUUGAGGAUAUUAUAUUUAGUCAUCAUGUCUCUUUAGGCUUCUCUUGGCUGUGACAGCUUCUUAGACUUCCUUGAUCUUCUGACCAUUUUUUUAUUGUUUUUUUUUAAUACUGAGUUGUUUGAGCUGUUUGUAUGUUUUACAAACUAAGCUCUUGUCCAUAGCAUCAUUUGCAAAUAUCUUCUUCCAUUCUGUAGGUUGUUUUUAAUACUCAAAAUGCCUUAGUUAUGGCCUUUAUUCUCUUUCAUUUAGAAUAGUGGUCGAGCCUGUUGUCUUUUAUAGUAGAUGCUGUAGUCCCCAAAUGACUGAUUAUUUUUACCUUAUGAGCUCACAGUAGAGGAUGGAAUUUUGUAUCAGCUGGUGGGAGAAGGGAGGAGCCAAGCCCAGGCCCUAGUGUAGGCCCAACUUCAAUGAGUUGAAGAAAAGUAGACAAAUCCCCAAGGUACACAGCCUGUGAAUUAGAUAGAACCUGGACUUCAUCAGAAUGGCAGAUGGUAGAACUCUAGAUGAGAACUCCAGGAGCUAAUGGUUACGAUAUACUGGCCACUCCAGGAGAGUUUUCUGUGCUGCCCCUAUUCCAAUGGCACUAUAAUUUCUUGCCCCUGUAUAGUAGAGCCCAAUCAUGAUCUGUUCAUCCAGGGAACUCUUCAUAUUUAGUUUCUUGGGGCCCUAACCUCCCUUUUACUUGUACAUAUAAUAUAUCCAGGGCUGAGGAAGUGAUAAUAACCUAUGCUAUUUGCUCAUCUUGUCAGAAGACUAGUUAUUUAACUCAUACCCUUUUUAUGGUUUUACAGCUUUUAUUAACUGAACGCUAUGCUAGCCAUUGGUGAUAUGUGAUGAACACAACACGGUCAUGUUUACCACCUUCAGAUUUCUUUCUGACCACGUUGGUUUCUUUCAGUCCUUUUGUAUCUAGGUCUCUGUAUAUGCUGUUUCCCUUUCUGAUUCCAUCUUCCAUUUCCACUUUGUAUACUUUUAUAUCUCAGCUCAGAUAGCACCUUCCCUGACUGAGCACCCAUUUUAUGUGUCAUUGUGCUGUAUUCAACCACAGAGCUAGAUAGCCAGGUGCCAUGUUAACAGUCCUUUGAAAAGGUAUUAUUCACCAGUUUUUAAAUGUUUAUCUUACUCACAUAUAGCCAAGCAGCCUCAAUUAUACCAAUAGCUGACUAAAGAGCUUCAACUGGUAAAUAUUAUUAUCAGUGUGUCAUUAUGUACCCAAUAUAGAGUAAGGUCGUAAGUGUAUCCUACUUUUUAAUACCCUGGUAAGUAAGGAUAACAAGAAUGCUGGUUUUGUUAAAUUUUGAAACAAAUCAUGGAAACAAAUAUGUCAGUUUCCAAAUCAUUUGCUAGUGGACUCUAUAAAGAUAUAACAUGUAUGUGUGUUAGUCGCUCAGUUGUGUCCGACCUUGGAACCCCACAGACUGAAGCCUACCAGGCUUCGCUGUCCAUGGGAUUCUCCAGGGAAGAAUACUGGAGUGGAUUGCUGUUCCCUUCUCCAGAGGAUCUUUCCGACCCAAGGAUCAAACCCGCAUCUCCUGCACUGCAGGCAGACUCUUUACCAUUUGAGCUACAGGAAAGUCCUGAAGAUGUAACAGUGCCUAACUAUUUGAAAUCCUUAAAACACACAUGGUUGAUGGUGGUUGCCUUUAAGGGAAUAGCAGUUGGGGAAAACUUCUGCGUGUGCUUUGAAUUUUAUUAUAUGUAUUCCUUAUUCAAAAACUCCCCCCAAUUUUUAAAUUUAUUUUUGGCUGUGUUGCAUGGCUUGCGGUAUCUGCCUGAUCAGGGAUCAAACCCAGGACCCCUGCAGUGGAAGCAUGGAAUUCUCUAACUACUGGACCACCAGGAAAUUCCCCAAAAUUUUAAGCCCAUUUCCCUUCCCUUUCAACUGCUAAAAGAGCUGCUGGUUAACAAUUUUCUGUUUUUUAAAUAGCCUAAAGGUUUGAAAUGACCUGCUGCUGCUUAGUUGCUUCAGUCAUGUCCAACUCUGUGCAGCCCUAGGGACUGUAGCCCACCAGGCUCCUCUGUCCAUGGAAUUCUCCAGGCAAGAGUACUGGAGUGGGUUGCCCCAUUACCUUCUCCAGGGGAUCUUCUUAACCCAGGGAUUGAACCCUCGUCACCUGCAUUGCAAUCAGAUUCUUCACCACUGAGCCACCAGGGAAGCCCCUCCAGGGCAUUUUAUCUAUUUAAAAAGUAGAUGGUGAACUGCCAGGAGACCACAGCCUUGCUGAAGGCAGUCCAAUAUAAUGCUCAAACAGGCAAGCUUCUUAAUCUCUUAUGUAAAAUAAAAGUAAAGGUACUUUACUCUUAAAAUUAUAUUAUCAGCUGCUUAGUGAUUGUGUGGUGUGAAAAUAUAUGUCCUCAACCAAUAUGACUCCUCUGCUCAAAACUUUAGAAAGAUUAGCUUUAUGGAGAUUGUAUCCUGGUGUUUAAAGUUUUAUUCCAAACUUGUCACUUAGACCUUUCAAAGUCUCAGCAGAAAUUCUUGCUUUGUAGCCUCUGUCAUCACUGGUAUACCACGCCCACUCCUAAGAAACCCAAAUGUGAAUAGAACUCUUGAUCCAUCUCUUCUCAUAGCCAGGCCCAUCUUGAGGCCAGCCUCCUUGUCCAGUCUUCAUCAGACUGGGAUUCUCAAAAGCUGAUAAUCUGUCUUAUCCAUCAUUGUAUGUGUGCAUGCGUGCUAAGCUGCUUCAGUCAUGUCUGACUCUUUGCAACCCUGUGGACUGUAGCCUGCUGGGCUCCUCUGUCCAUGGGAUUCUCCAGGCAAGGAUACUGGAAUGGGCUGCCAUGCCCUUCUCCAGGGAAUUUUCCCGACCCAGGGAUCGAACCACCCAUCAUGAAAUAGACAUUUGACGACUGAAAUCUUGUAUUACCUUUGGUUUCCAGUGUGUCUUUUUGCUGUUGACCUACUAAGCAGAUCCUCAAUAAAUAAUUACUCAACUGAAAAAGUUUGCCUUUCCUUUGAACAAUCACCAAAUUGCAUUAAUAGUCUGUACAAAAGCAUGGUAUGUAUAUAUCUGAAAUAAGCAUGCAUUCAUACUUCUGAAUCCAGAAAAGCAGAGCUGCUUUCAUCUAAGAUCUGGGGA
ensembl:lncRNA